CCUACGGGAGGCUGCAGUGAGGAAUAUUGGUCAAUGGGCGCGAGCCUGAACCAGCCAAGUCGCGUGAGGGAGUACUGCCCUAUGGGUUGUAAACCUCUUUUGUCGGGGAGCAAAAGCCGGAAGUUUCCGCCUGUGAGAGUACCCGAAGAAAAAGCAUCGGCUAACACCGUGCCCGCAGCCGCGGUAAUACGGAGGAUGCCAGCGUUAUCCGGAUUUAUUGGGGUUAAAGGGUGCGCAGGCGGAUUGUUAAGGCAGCGGUAAAAUUGUGGGGCUCAACCCCAUCCAGCCGUUGAAACUGGGGAUCUAGAGUGUGCGAGAGGUAUGCGGAAUGCGUGGUGUAGCGGUGAAAUGCAUAGAUAUCACGCAGAACCCCGAUUGCGAAGGCAGCAUACCGGUGCACAACUGACGCUCAGGCACGAAAGCGUGGGUAUCGAACAGGAUUAGAUACCCGUGUAGUC
rnacentral:rRNA from 1 species